CACCAAUCUGUCCAAGCCUUCAUCUUGCACUUCCCAGUCUUCAGAACUAUUCGAGGUUUGUGGCAACCCUGUAUCAAGUAAGUCCACUGGUGCCAUUUUUCCAACAGCACAUGCUAACUUCAUGUCUCUGUCACAGUUUAGUAAUUCUUAGAAUAGUUUAAUCUUUUUCAUUAUUAUUACAUCUGUUAUACUGAUCAUUAUAUCUGAUACAGUGAAUAUAGUGAUAUUAUACUGUUAUAAUCAGUGGUCCCUGGAGCUGGCAGAGGUUGGCUCAUGAGGUGUAAGGAAAAAAGGCAUCUCUAUAACAUAAAAGUGCAAGGUGAAGUAGCAAGUGCUGAUGUAGAAGCUGCAGCAAGUUAUCCAGAAGAUGUAGCUAAGAUCACUGGUGAAGGCAACUAAAAUAAACGACAGAUUUUCAAUGUAGAGAAAACAGCCUUGCAUUUGAAGACAAUGUUAUCUAGGACUUUCAUAGCUAAAGAGGAGAAGUUAUUGCCUGCUUCAAAGCUUCAAAGGACAGGCUGACUUUCUUGUUAGUAGCUAAUGCACUUGGUGACUUUAAGUGGAAGCCAGUGCUCUUUUACCAUUCCAAAAAUCUCAGGCUCCAUAAGAAUUAUGCUAAAUCUACUCUGCUUAUUCUGUAAAUGAACCAACAAAGCCUGGAUGACAGCAUGUCUGUUUACAGCACGGUUUACUGAAUAUUUUGAGCCCACUAUUGAAACAUAUGUUAGAAAAAAAUAUCAUUGUUCACUGACAAUGUAUGUAGUCACCCAAGAGCUCUGAUGGAGAUUUACAAGGAGAUUAAUGUGUUUUCAUGCCUGCUAACACAACUUGCAUUUUGUAGCACAUGGAUCAAGAACUAAUUGGGACUUUCAAGUCUUAUUAAUUAUUUAAGAAACACAUUUGGUAAGACUACAGCUGCUAUAAAUUGUGAUUCCUCUUACUGAUCUGGGAAAAUCAAACUGAAAACCUUCUAGAAAGAUCCACAAUUCUAUAUACCAUUACAAACAUUCGUGAUUCAUGGGAAAAGACAAAAAUAUCAACAUUAUCAGGAAUUUGGAAGAAGUUGAUUUCAACCCUUGUGGAUGGCUUUGAGGGGUUCUAGCAUUCAGUGGAGGAUGUAACAGCAGAUGUGGAUGUGGUGGAAACAGCAAGAGAACUAGAAGUGGACACUGAAGAUGGGACUGAAUUGCUACAAUCUCAUGAUAAAACUUGAACAAAUGAGGAGUUACUUCUUAUGGAUGAGCAAAGAAAGUGGUCUCUUGAGAUGGAAUCUACUCCUGGUGAAGAUGCCGUGAACAUUGUUCAAGUGACCCAAAGGAUAUAGAAUAUUAGAUGAACUUAUUUGAUAAAGCAGUGCCAGGGUUUGAGAGAACUGACUCCAAGUUUUAAAAGUUCUGUGUGGGUAAAAUGCUAUCAAACAGCACUGCAUACUACAGAGAAAUCUUUUGUGAAAGGAAGAGUCAGUCAAUGCAGCCAACUUCAUUGUUGUCCUAUUUUAAGAAAUUGCCACAGCCAUCCAACCCUCAGCAACCACCACUUUGAUCAGUCAGCAGCCAUCAACAUUAAGACAAGACCCUCCACCAGCAAAAAUACAAAGACUUGCUGAAAGCUUAGAUGAUCGUUAGUGUUUGUUAUACAUUUUGUGAAUUACAGAACAGAGUAUUCUUUAAUUAAGGUAUGUACUUUUUUUAGACAAAGUGCUAUCACACAAUUAAGAGACUACAGUAUAUAGUAAACAUAACUUUUAUACACAAUGGGAAAACAAAUUUGUGUGACUCACUUAAUUGCAAUAUUCACUCUGUUGUGGUUGUGGUGAUCUGGAACCAAACCGUCAGCAACUUUGAGGUAUGCCUGUGUGUGUGUCUGUGUGUGUGCACACAACUUGACCCUGAGUUAACUGUUUUAUUCUUCUCUUUUAUUUCUUAGCAAAUUUGCCAUGAUUUCAAAAAGAAAAACAGCUUAUAUUUAUAUUCCUACUUCCUCAUUCCUCAUUUACUUCUCAACCAUCUGUUGGCUUUUACUCAUAUCACUUUAUGUAAGAGAGGUCAUGCCAAAGUUAUAUACAUGGUUCCUUGUUCCUGGAGGGGAUAUCCAUUUGAAACAGAUAUAAAUAUGUGUGGAGAUAUAUAUAUAUAUAUAUGUAUGUAUGCAGGCUUUUAUAUAUGUAUUACUGUGUAUCACAGAACUUUGUUAUAGCCUCUGAAGUUAGAAAAACAAACAAUAUAAUAUGCAGUUCCAAGAACAUUUUAAUUUUUAUGUUAGAUAGAGACAAAAUUAAAAGAAACAUCACCACAACUGAAUGUUAACUACUUAAUUUUCAAAAUUGCCUUGGCAUUAAUAAAGGUUAUAUGUUUUCAGGAAAAAUGUGUGUGUCCUUAAAACAGAGCAUCAAUAUGUUAGCAGACAAAGAGCAGGACUGUUGAAGUUGAAUAGAACUUGAUUUAUUAGUUUUAUAAAAGUACAUGUGAUAUGAAUCUUUUAUCAUGUGGUUUAUCCUGUCAUGAAACGCAACCUUUGUUUAAAAAGUUGAGCACCUGUAAAAGGUGACUGGAAUGAGAAGCUGUAUUUCAAGAUAAUGAUAUUUAGAUUGGACAUUUUUAGGAUCGAUACAUAGAAAAGAAGCUUUAAACCCGUAAAUUCUUCACUAAUUCAACCAACUGAACAAUUUGUGAAAAUAGUGGAUGGAAUACAUUUGCUUUCCUUAUAACAUAAAACCCUGUGUGUUUUAAAAAAAGAAAAAGAUCAAAUUAAUGAUAUGCCUCCAAGACACUAUGUGUUAAUCCUGGAUGUAUAGAGAAUUCUGAAACAGGAAAAAAAAAAUACCACAUUUCUGAAUUUAUAUGAAAGCAACUUGUUUUUAUUUAUAUUCUUUUACUUAAAUCUACCUGAAAAAACCUUUAUACUCUUUUAAAAUCAGAUAUAUCUUAUGCACAAAUUUGAAUACAUAAUGUAAAAUUCAUUGCCAUCUUUGAGUCAAAAACUUUUCCUUUUUGAAAUAAAGUAUGUAGAGGUGAACAA